UACGAAGGGAGCUAGCGUUGUUCGGAAUCACUGGGCGUAAAGCGCACGUAGGCGGAUGUGUCAGUCAGGGGUGAAAUCCCGGAGCUCAACUUCGGAACUGCCUCUGAUACAGCACGUCUUGAGUCCGAUAGAGGUGGGUGGAAUUCCUAGUGUAGAGGUGAAAUUCGUAGAUAUUAGGAAGAACACCGGUGGCGAAGGCGGCCCACUGGAUCGGUACUGACGCUGAGACGCGAAAGCGUGGGGAGCGAACAGG
rnacentral:rRNA from 1 species